rnacentral:rRNA from 1 species
GAACGCUGGCGGCGUGCCUAAAACAUGCAAGUCGAACGGUGUAGCGAUACGCAGUGGCGAACGGCGGAGUAAUACAUAAGCAACGUGCCCUGAAGACUGGGAUAGUCAGAGGAAACUCUGGGUAAUACCAGAUGUGGCCCCUUUCCGGCAUCGGAGAGUGGUUAGAUGGUUUUUCGCUUCUGGAGCGGCUUAUGGCCUAUCAGGUAGUUGGUGAGGUAACGGCUCACCAAGCCGACGACGGGUAGCGGGUCUGAGAGGAUGAUCCGCUCGAGUGGGACUGAGACACGGCCCACACACCUACGGGUGGCAGCAGUUGGGAAUCUUGCACAAUGGGGGAAACCCUGAUGCAGCGACGCCGCGUGGAGGAUGAAGGAUCUAGGUCUGUAAACUCCUUUUUCAGGGAAAGACUUAGGACGGUACCCUGAGAAUAAGGACCGGCUAACUACGUGCCAGCAGCCGCGGUAAGACGUAGGGUCCAAGCGUUGUCCGGAUUUACUGGGCGUAAAGAGCGCGUAGGCGGCUCGUUAAGUGUGAAGUGAAAUCUCCAGGGCUCAACCCGGAAACUGCUUUACAUACUGGCGAGCUGGAGUGAUGCAGAGGUUUGUGGAAUUCCUGGUGUAACGGUGAAAUGUGUUGAUAUCAGGAGGAACACCCAUGGCGAAGGCAGCAAACUGGGCAUCAACUGACGCUGAGGCGCGAAAGCGUGGGUAGC